rnacentral:rRNA from 1 species
CCCUUAGAUGUUCUGGGCUGCACGCGCGCUACACUGAAGCGUUCAACGAGUAUUCACCUUGCCCGGGAGGGUUGGGUAAUCUUUUGAAAACGCGUCGUGAUGGGGAUAGAUUAUUGCAAUUAUUAAUCUUCAACGAGGAAUGCCUAGUAAGCGCAAGUCAUCAGCUUGCGUUGAUUACGUCCCUGCCCUUUGUACACACCGCCCGUCGCUCCUACCGAUUGAAUGGUCCGGUGAAGCGUUCGGACCGUGGCCUUUGGACGGUUCGCCGUCUGUUGGCUGCGGGAAGUUCGUUAAACCUUAUCAUUUAGAGGAAGGAGAANUCGUAACA